UACAGAGGGGGCAAGCGUUGUUCGGAAUUACUGGGCGUAAAGGGCGCGUAGGCGGCCUGUUAAGUCGAACGUGAAAUCCCCGGGCUCAACCCGGGAACUGCGUCCGAUACUGGCAGGCUUGAAUUCGGGAGAGGGAUGCGGAAUUCCAGGUGUAGCGGUGAAAUGCGUAGAUAUCUGGAGGAACACCGGUGGCGAAGGCGGCAUCCUGGACCGGUAUUGACGCUGAGGCGCGAAAGCUAGGGGAGCAAACGGG
rnacentral:rRNA from 1 species